UUGGGAGCUCUCCCAUAUGGUCGACCUGCAGGCGGCCGCGAAUUCACUAGUGAUUCGUAUUACCGCGGCUGCUGGCACAGAGUUAGCCGGUGCUUAUUCUCCCGAUACUGUCAUUAUCAUCUCGGGUAAAAGAGCUUUACAACCCUAAGGCCUUCAUCACUCACGCGGCAUUGCUGGAUCAGGCUUUCGCCCAUUGUCCAAUAUUCCCUACUGCUGCCUCCCGUAGGAGUCUGGGCCGUGUCUCAGUCCCAGUGUGGCUGAUCAUCCUCUCAGACCAGCUAAGGAUCGUUGCCUUGGUGAGCCUUUACCCCACCAACUAGCUAAUCCUACGCGGGCUCAUCCCUGGGCGAUAAAUCUUUGGACUUUCGUCAUCAUCCGGUAUUAGCUUCAGUUUCCCGAAGUUAUUCCGAACCCAAGGGCAGAUUCCCACGCGUUACGCACCCGUGCGCCACUAGACCCGAAGGUCUCGUUCGACUUGCAUGUAUUAGGCAUGCCGCCAGCGUUCGUUCUGAGCCAUGAUCAAACUCUAAUCGAAUUCCCGCGGCCGCC
rnacentral:rRNA from 1 species